GAGUGUGUGUGGGGGUGUUUCGAGUGUGUGCAGGGUCUUUUGAGUGUAUUUGAGUGUGUGUGGGGGUGGUUUGGGUGAGUUUCGGUGUGUGCGGGGUCUUCUGAGUGUAUUUGAAUGUGUGUGGGGGUGUUUUGGAUGCGUUUGGGUGUAUGCGGUGUCUUGAUUGUAUUUGAGUGUGUGGUGGUGUUUUGGAAGAGUUUGGGUGUGUGCGGGUUCUUUUGAGUGUAUUUGAGUGUGUGUAGGAGUAGUUUCGAUGCCUUUGGGUGUGUGCGGGGUCUUUUGAGUGUAAAUGAGUGUGUGUGGGCGUGUUUUAGGUGCGUUUGGGUGUGUGUGGGGGUCGUUUUGGGUGUGUGCAGGGUCUUUUAAGUGUAUUUGAGUGUGUGUGGAGGGAUGUUUUGGAUGCGUUUGGGUGUGUGCGGGGUCUUUUGAGCGUAUUAGAGUGUGUGUGUGUGUUUUGGGAGCGUUUGGGUGUGUUUGAGUGUGUGUAAGGGUGUUUUGGAUGUGAUUGGAUGUGUUUAGGGUGUACCCUGUGUUAUUGAGUGUUUUGGAUGUUUUAAGAGUGUUUUUGGGUGUGUGUUUGGAUGAGUUUUGGGGUGUUGGAGAGAGAGAGAGAGAGAGAGAGAGAGAGAGAGAGAGAGAAAGAGAAUGAGCAUUUUAGUUGAGCCUAUCCUGCGCUGGUUCGUCCGUUUGCUGAGGUGACACGGUACAGCACUGCUUCUCCCUGUACCAAGUACCGCCACGCAACACCAGACAGCCAUGAGUAUGUAAGCUCCACGGUGGCCCAACUUUCGGAGUUUUCGCCAUUCCCUCACCAGUGGGAUUGACAGGACGCCAAGCACUAGGCCGCAAGGACUUGAUGAGUACAGUGUACAAGAAGGCACAUGGUGGAAGCUAACAAGAAGCAAGAAUGUGAAUGUGAAUGGAUAGAGACAAUGACUUGCUACUGUAAUGAUAUUGUAGAGAGAGAGAGAGAUCCCAUGUGAGUGACUGACUUAAGAUAACAGUCAUUUGUAGUGUUUUAACUUUAUCUUUGGCAUGCAGCUUGGCUGUUGGUGAGGUGAGUGAUACUUUUAUUCAGCUGAAUCAUUCAGAACUCUUGCAUUGUCCAUGCCUUGGAAUAUGCUACAAAAGAACUUUUUAAGUCAACAUGAACUCAGAAGUGGUUAAUAGUAGAUAUGAAUCUUGAAGGCUUUCACUGGGGAGGCCAAACAUGUGUGUAGACAGCAGCUGGAGGAUGUGAUGAGUAGCAAGGCUCCUGUGCCAGUUCCUUAGUCAAGAAAAAAAUCACUGCCAAGUACACUGAGGAUGAAAUGGCCAAUCCUGAUGGAGGUUGUGUCAGUUUUGAUCCUCUAAAUCAAGUUUUCAGGUAUAAGGAUCAAAGAUUUGUCUUCUGAUAACAACAGGAGACAACUGAGCCUUGCAAGAUGAGGAUGGGGAACUCCAUCCUUGCAUCAGCCUUGUUAGGUGAGGCUAGGGAGCUCCACCCUCUUGAGAACCUUGCUCAACCAAUAAUGAUCUCCAGCCCAGCAUCUCACUGCAAGGCCAAUGACACUACAAGGUUGCUCAAGCCAGCACUGCCACUCCUCCUGCCAGCCCACUGCCUCCUCUCACAGCCUCUGUUGUCUCUCAGGAAGAUUUCUGCAGUUGAAGUAAAACAUUAUUGGUAAGAAGUGUGACGAACUUUUGCUUAGAAAACAACAUUAGGCUUGUAAUGUUGGUGGUGGUGGUAAUGGUGGUAACAACUGAUGGCAGUGUGUUUCAGAUCUUAACUCACACCAGACUCUCCACCAGUGGAAGAGAAGGAAGAGAGACAAGAAGAGAGUCCUUUGGCAGUCUUUAGUUGCCCAGAACAUUUUUAGUUACAUUAAUCUACCUUCAAGAGAUUUACAUUUCCAAGUAAUGCUUGUUUGUCCCACAAAGUGGUACUUGAUGCUGUCUGCAGCAAUAUAAUGUGAUAUGUUUCCUCUUUCAAUGUCAUAUCUCAGUUCACAUCAUAACAAGUGAUCAGUACUUCAGAAGUCACAUUUAAAUUUUCAGCCCAAAAAACUCAGGAAUGGCAACAUGCACAAGUGCUUUUGUUUCCUUUUGCCAGGAUCACAUGGCUGUGGCUGUGGUCCCUUAGGGCUGUCUCUCUAUAUAUCACAAGUCCACUUUCUUCCUACUAUGAAUGGAUGUCAUUAAAGACAGUUGUAUUAAUUUCAAUUCAAACAUUGCAGGAAUUUAAGCUUGAAUUUUUGUUCUUUCUUUUCUUUUUUUAUGCAUAUAGGUUCAAGAGAUUAUUUUGUGUGUGCAAUGUGUCAGUUUGCAAUAAUCUUAUAAUGUCAUUUGAUUUUAAUUUAAAGUUAUGUUUUAGUUCAGUGAAUGAGCUUUGAUGGCAGCCACAACCAGGAACUUAUGAGUCUGUGAUAUUUCUCCCCACCUGAGAGGAGUGUGUUCCCCUAAUGCAGUGCUCAGCCUGUGUUCAGUAGUCCUCAAUGAGAGGCUCAGGCAGAAUAAUUAGGUUGAAAGCUGCUUUCUAUUUCAGAAAUGGUCUCAGAAAGUUAUGGAAAUCUUACCUCAUGACACUUUUCUUAUUUAAGAGUAUGGUUUAAAGAAAUUGGGUAUGAAUUUUGGCAUGAAAUCCAGAAAUUGUGGCAAUAACUUAUGUUUUGAUGAUGCAGAUGUGUAGACACCUGAUGGAAUGUUCAGGUGUGGGGUUAGGUGAGCAGCAAGACUAAUAGGCUUUUAAUCAUAAUUAUUUUUAUUAUUAAGGAUGAUGACCUCAGUGCCUUGUAGAGAGGAUCAACAGGGAUCAGAACCUCAAGCAGAAACGUGAUUUAUCCCGAGCAGCAUUUACUGCCCUGGCAAAAAUUGUUUGUCGUAGUUCCUCAUUUUGAUAUGGAAGCUGUUACAUGCAGUGGCUGUACUUCCUUUUAUUUGUUUGUCAACUCCUAGUAGUUAUUUGGAAAUUUUGUUUUGAUGAUUUUCAGGCUGAUUUUCACUGGCUGCUGUGGGACAUGAACUGCAUCCUGUUGUAGGAUGCUCAUUGUCUUGCCAUCAGUGUUGCAGGACAUUUACAGCAUUCUGCUGUGGCUGUUGCAGGAUAGAUAAACACACACACACACACACACACACACACACACACACACACACACACACACACACACACACACACAGCCUUCUGCAGGACACACAUGCUCAACGAAACCUUCAGGAUGGUGCUCAGCUCAGGGCUGACAGAGGAGGAAGAGAAGGAGCCAAGUAUCUGCUCAAAGACCUUUAAAGAAACUCACAGUGGUUUCCAGCAACAUGAGAAAAGGCUUUUAUUUGUGUGCUUUUCUUUACUGUAUGCAAAUGUAGAAAGACAGUCAGGAUGACUACAGUCUGUUGAUAUGAAUUUUCUCAUCACUUAAUAGGUAAUUUGACUGAUAUUUUUUCUGUUGUAGCUGCAUAUAUCCUGAGAUCAACUCUUGUAUAUGAUGACAAUGUGUGACAAUAUUCACAUGAAGGGUGUGUGUUUGUGAGUGUGCAUGUGUGCAUGUGUCCCUGUGGACCCUGACUGAGGUGUUCCUGCUGGAGGCUCAGGGCUGUGGCCCUGUGGAGCCUUGAGGGAGGGGCAGCCUGAGUCUUGAGUUUAUGAUGUACCUUUGUCUGUAUUAACCAAGAAAUAUCCUUUCUGGUUACAAAGGAAGAGGGAUUAUCCUCUGUGAGGUUACUUCCUAAGAGCAGUCCUGUUGGUGUUAUGUUGGGUCUGAAGUAAUGGAUCUCCAUUACAACUCCUGGCCAGGAUGGUCCUGAGCAGCACCAUGCUGGCCAGGGCUGACUGAUUACUGUUGAUAUUAUCUGUAGUAGUGCUGCUCAUCAUGCUGUGAGGAUGCUGGUCACUGGGUGCAAUUGAAAAUAAAAUUUUGGAAAUUUGCAUGGGGAUAAAUAAAAAAAAAUGCACCUACAAUUUGUCUUUGAUAUAACUCAAGGUUGUUUUAUAAUCUGGUAUUGAGACCAGAACACAGAAUAAAAAAAAAUCAUAAAGCAUUUUAAUUUUAUAGGCUACUUUUAUAUCAUAUGAAAGUAAUUUAAAAUAUUAACAUAUCUACUGAAGUUCUGCAAAAUUCUUUGGAGGGGUUGCAUCCUGGGCCUGGCUUGCAUGAGCUGAAGUGUGUAUAAAGGCAAGUUUUGUACAUUUUUAUGUAGUGAAGUGUUUUGGUGUGUCCACCUGCUGUGUUGCUCGGGUUAACUGUGCUGGGUCACCAACUUGUAGAGGACUCAUGACUCCAAGUCAUGAGCUACAGCAUGUCAUUGAAUAUCUCUAGAAACUUUGUCUUAUCAUUGGUCCUGCAGUGACUCAGAAGAGCUGCUUGACAUAAUGUUGCCGUUUUUGCUGCUGACAGUUAGUGCAGUGGCGCUCACCUGCCUCAUCUGUUGGCUGCAAGACUGUUGCCAUCAUUUGAUGAGGUGCAGAUGUCAGCUUAACAGGAAGCACAUCUUGUUGAGGCUGAGAGCAACUGUAAGAAAAUAAGCAAGAAGAAUACCCUUGGCUGCACAUUGUGUGUGUGUGGGGUGAGGGUGUUGGCCUUCUUGGCAACAUGAGGUGUGAUGGUGGUAGCUGUUAAGGCAGUUGUCCAGCACCUAGAAGGGCGCUUAGUGGUGUCAUGUUGCAAUAUUACUAGAAGGCAAGAAUGUUCAUUGCCUUAUAACAGUGUCUCGCCGAGCAUUCGUCAACUGAAGAUUGUCAUAACUGCCUACAUUUUGGUGUAUUCUUUUAAGCAUUACGCCCAUCUUGGUCAUACGUGAUAAUAAAAUAAUUUUUAUACA